rnacentral:rRNA from 1 species
GACGAACCGUGCGAACGUUGUUCGGAAUCACUGGGCUUAAAGGGCGCGUAGGCGGGUCAGCAAGUCCGGGGUGAAAUCUUUCGGCUCAACCGGAAAAGUGCCUCGGAUACUGCUGGUCUUGAGGGAGGUAGGGGUUUGUGGAACUUCUGGUGGAGCGGUGAAAUGCGUUGAUAUCAGGAGGAACACCGGUGGUGUAGACGGCUCACUGGACCAUAACUGACGCUGAGACACGAAAAGCGUGGGUAGCAAACAGG